rnacentral:rRNA from 1 species
GAUCCUGGCUCAGGAUGAACGCUAGCUACAGGCUUAACACAUGCAAGUCGAGGGAAACGAUAUUGGAAGCUUGCUUCCGAUAGGCGUCGACCGGCGCACGGGUGAGUAACGCGUAUCCAACCUGCCCAUCACUUGGGGAUAACCUUGCGAAAGUAAGACUAAUACCCAAUGACGUCUCUAGAAGACAUCUGAAGGAGAUUAAAGAUUUAUCGGUGAUGGAUGGGGGAUGCGUCUGAUUAGCUUGUUGGCGGGGUAACGGCCCACCAAGGCGACGAUCAGUAGGGGUUCUGAGAGGAAGGUCCCCCACAUUGGAAUUGAGACACGGUCCAAACUCCUACGGGAGGCAGCAGUGAGGAAUAUUGGUCAAUGGGCGAGAGCCUGAACCAGCCAAGUAGCGUGCAGGAUGACGGCCCUAUGGGUUGUAAACUGCUUUUAUAAGGGAAUAAAGUGGGAGUCGUGACUCUUUUUGCAUGUACCUUAUGAAUAAGGACCGGCUAAUUCCGUG